GACUACUGGCAGGAUCAACCAGGUAGCAUUCACUCUUAGACCUCGGUGCAACCCACAGACGAGCGCGGAACGAAAGGGCUCCACGAGCUCCGAGGAAAGCACGAGGGUCGCCCGAGCGGAAGCAUAGCUUCGCCACGUGGAGAUCGCACGGUCAGAGAAGGCCAGCGCGAUAACCACGGUUAUCACCAUACCCGUGAGCAUGCUGACGGCAUCGACCCACCGACGAGGACAAAACCGCCCAGGAGAUGGACGGCCGACCGGUAGGAGAGCGCCGACGCCCGCAGGAGCCUCCCAACGCACAGGAUGCGGAGGAGAGGCGAUGAAAGCGAGACAUGGACAACUAAAAGGCCCGUGACCGUAAUCGGGUAUCAAACACAGCAACCCACCCAACGCACGCGACCAAAACUAGGGACGGGCGAACAAAUGAAAUGGACAGCCCACAGCAGUUCGGUGCCCAAAGCACGGAGCCUGCCACGGGUAAAUAUCCCGA
rnacentral:misc_RNA from 1 species